rnacentral:misc_RNA from 1 species
AAAGUCGUAACAAGGUCUCCGUAGGUGAACCUGCGGAGGGAUCAUUACAGAGAAACUCGCCCGCAAGGGUGACUCUCCAACCCUAUGUUAAUUAUACCUUUGUUGCUUUGGCGAGCCGCUUCGGCCACCGGCUUCACGCUGGUGAGUGCUCGCCAGAGGACCCUAAACUCUUGUUUAAUAAUGUCGUCUGAGUACUAUAUAAUAGUUAAAACUUUCAACAACGGAUCUCUUGGUUCUG